rnacentral:rRNA from 1 species
AUUGAACGCUGGCGGCAGGCCUAACACAUGCAAGUCGAGCGGUAGAGAGAAGCUUGCUUCUCUUGAGAGCGGCGGACGGGUGAGUAAUGCCUAGGAAUCUGCCUGGUAGUGGGGGAUAACGUUCGGAAACGGACGCUAAUACCGCAUACGUCCUACGGGAGAAAGCAGGGGGACCUUCGGGCCUUGCGCUAUCAGAUGAGCCUAGGUCGGAUUAGCUAGUUGGUGAGGUAAUGGCUCACCAAGGCGACGAUCCGUAACUGGUCUGAGAGGAUGAUCAGUCACACUGGAACUGAGACACGGUCCAGACUCCGUACGGGAGGCAGCAGUGGGAAUAUUGGACAAUGGGCGAAAGCCUGAUCAGCCAUGCCGCGUGU